AACGAACGCUGGCGGCAGGCUUAACACAUGCCAGUCGAACGCACCUUUCGGGGUGAGUGGUAGACGGGUGAGUAACGCGUGGGAAUCUACCCUUCUCUACGGGAUAGCUCCGGGAAACUGGAAUUAAUACCGUAUACGUCCUGAGGGAGAAAGAUUUAUCGGGGAAGGAUGAGCCCGCGUUGGAUUAGCUAGUUGGUGGGGUAAAGGCCUACCAAGGCGACGAUCCAUAGCUGGUCUAAGAGGAUGAUCAGCCACAUUGGGACUGAGACACGGCCCAAACUCCUACGGGAGGCAGCAGUGGGGAAUAUUGGACAAUGGGCGCAAGCCUGAUCCAGCCAUGCCGCGUGAGUGAUGAAGGCCCUAGGGUUGUAAAGCUCUUUCAGUGGGGACGAUAAUGACGGUACCCACAGAAGAAGCCCCGGCUAACUUCGUG
rnacentral:rRNA from 1 species